rnacentral:rRNA from 1 species
CUCUGUUAUUAGGGAAGAACAUAUGUGUAAGUAACUGUGCACAUCUUGACGGUACCUAAUCAGAAAGCCACGGCUAACUACGUGCCAGCAGCCGCGGUAAUACGUAGGUGGCAAGCGUUAUCCGGAAUUAUUGGGCGUAAAGCGCGCGUAGGCGGUUUUUUAAGUCUGAUGUGAAAGCCCACGGCUCAACCGUGGAGGGUCAUUGGAAACUGGAAAACUUGAGUGCAGAAGAGGAAAGUGGAAUUCCAUGUGUAGCGGUGAAAUGCGCAGAGAUAUGGAGGAACACCAGUGGCGAAGGCGACUUUCUGGUCUGUAACUGACGCUGAUGUGCGAAAGCG